rnacentral:rRNA from 1 species
UGCAAGUCGAGCGCGACCUUCGGGUUGAGCGGCGGACGGGUUAGUAACGCGUGGGAAUAUGCCCAAAGGUACGGAAUAGCCUCUGGAAACGGAGAGUAAUACCGUAUGUGCCCUUCGGGGGAAAGAUUUAUCGCCUUUGGAUUAGCCCGCGUUAGAUUAGGUAGUUGGUGGGGUAAUGGCCUACCAAGCCUACGAUCUAUAGCUGGUUUUAGAGGAUGAUCAGCAACACUGGGACUGAGACACGGCCCAGACUCCUACGGGAGGCAGCAGUGGGGAAUCUUGGACAAUGGGCGCAAGCCUGAUCCAGCCAUGCCGCGUGAGUGAUGAAGGCCUUAGGGUCGUAAAGCUCUUUCGCCAGGGAUGAUAAUGACAGUACCUGGUAAAGAAACCCCGGCUAACUCCGUGCCAGCAGCCGCGGUAAUACGGAGGGGGUUAGCGUUGUUCGGAAUUACUGGGCGUAAAGCGCGCGUAGGCGGAUCGGAAAGUUGGGGGUGAAAUCCCGGGGCUCAANCCCGGAACUGGCUCCAAAACUAUCGGUCUA